GUGCUCACUUUGGCAGCACAUAUACUACAAUUGGAAAAAUACAGAGAAGAUUAGUAUGGCCCCUGUGCAAGGAUGACAUGCAAACUCAGGAAGUGUCCUGUACUUUU
ensembl:snRNA U6 U6 spliceosomal RNA